ACAGAGAGAGGAGGCCACAGUCAGUAACAAUCAACCUUAGAUUAAGUUACUACUAAAGCUUAACUGGUUGGAGAUGAUGACAUUAGGGAGAGUAGGGAAGGUUGUUGGAGACAGACAGGAGACAGUAGGGAAGGUUGUUGGAGACAGUCAGGAGACAGUAGGGAAGGUUGUUGGAGACAGACAGGAGACAGUAGGGAAGGUUGUUGGAGACAGACAGGAGACAGUAGGGAAGGUUGUUGGAGACAGUCAGGAGACAGUAGGGAAGGUUGUUGGAGACAGACAGGAGACAGUAGGGAAGGUUGUUGGAGACAGACAGGAGACAGUAGGGAAGGUUGUUGGAGACAGUCAGGAGACAGUAGGGAAGGUUGUUGGAGACAGACAGGAGACAGUAGGGAAGGUUGUUGGAGACAGUCAGGAGACAGUAGGGAAGGUUGUUGGAGACAGACAGGAGACAGUAGGGAAGGUUUUUGGAGACAGACAGGAGACAGUAGGGAAGGUUUUUGGAGAGACAGACAGGAGACAGUAGGGAAGGUUGUUUGAGACAGGGAGGAGACAGUAGGGAAGGUUGUUUGAGACAUACAGGAGACAGUAGGGCAGGUUUUUGGAGACAGACAGGAGACAGUAGGGAAGAUUUUUGGAGACAGACAGGAGACAGUAGGGAAGGUUGUUGGAGACAGAGUGGAGACAGUAGGGAAGGUUGUUGGAGACAGUCAGGAGACAGUAGGGAAGGUUGUUGGAGACAGACAGGAGACAGUAGGGAAGGUUUUUGGAGACAGACAGGAGACAGCAGGGAAGGUUGUUGGAGACAGUCAGGAGACAGUAGGGAAGGUUGUUGGAGACAGACAGGAGACAGUAGGGAAGGUUUUUGGAGACAGACAGGAGACAGUAGGGAAGGUUGUUGGAGACAGACAGGAGACAGUAGGGAAGGUUGUUGGAGACAGACAGGAGAAAGUAGGGAAGGUUUUUGGAGACAGACAGGAGACAGUAGGGAAGGUUGUUUGAGACAGAGAGGAGACAGUAGGGAAGGUUUUUGGAGACAGACAGGAGACAGUAGGGAAGGUUGUUUGAGACAGGGAGGAGACAGUAGGGAAGGUUGUUUGAGACAUACAGGAGACAGUAGGGCAGGUUGUUGGAGACAGAAAGGAGACAGUAGGGAAGGUUGUUGGAGACAUACAGGAGACAGUAGGGAAGGUUGUUUGAGACAGACAGGAGACAGUAGGGAAGGUUGUUG